rnacentral:rRNA from 1 species
GAUUGACGCUGAGGCACGAAAGCGUGGGGAUCAAACAGGAUUAGAUACCCUGGUAGUCCACGCAGUAAACGAUGAUAACUAACCGCUGGUUCUUUAGCGGAUCAGUGGCCAAGCGAAAGCGAUAAGUUAUCCACCUGGGGAGUACGACCGCAAGGUUGAAACUCAAAGGAAUUGACGGGGGCCCGCACAAGCGGAGGAACAUGUGGUUUAAUUCGAUGAUACGCGAGGAACCUUACCCGGGCUCGAACGGUACAGGAAGAGAUCAGGAGACUGUGACGUCCUUCGGGACCUGUAUCGAGGUGCUGCAUGGUUGUCGUCAGCUCGUGCCGUGAGGUGUCGGCUCAAGUGCCAUAACGAGCGCAACCCUUGCCGUCAGUUACCAUCAAGUUGCGUUGGGGACUCUGACGGGACUGCCACCGCAAGGUGUGAGGAAGGGGGGGAUGACGUCAAAUCAGCACGGCCCUUACGUCCGGGGCGACACACGUGUUACAAUGGGAGUUACAGAAGGUACCUACCUGGUGACAGGAUGGCAAUCUAAAAAAGCUCUCUCAGUCCGGAUCGGAGUCUGCAACCCGACUCCGUGAAGCUGGAUUCGCUAGU